rnacentral:rRNA from 1 species
GACGAACGCUGGCGGCAGGCCUAACACAUGCAAGUCGAGCGAGACCUUCGGGUCUAGCGGCGGACGGGUGAGUAACGCGUGGGAAUAUGCCCUUUGGUACGGAAUAGCCUCGGGAAACUGAGAGUAAUACCGUAUGUGCCCUUCGGGGGAAAGAUUUAUCGCCAAAGGAUUAGCCCGCGUUGGAUUAGGUAGUUGGUGGGGUAAUGGCCUACCAAGCCUACGAUCCAUAGCUGGUUUGAGAGGAUGAUCAGCCACACUGGGACUGAGACACGGCCCAGACUCCUACGGGAGGCAGCAGUGGGGAAUCUUAGACAAUGGGGGCAACCCUGAUCUAGCCAUGCCGCGUGAUCGAUGAAGGCCUUAGGGUUGUAAAGAUCUUUCAGUGGGGAAGAUAAUGACUGUACCCACAGAAGAAGCCCCGGCUAACUCCGUGCCAGCAGCCGCAAUAACAC